rnacentral:rRNA from 1 species
UACGGAGGGUGCAAGCGUUAUCCGGAUUCACUGGGUUUAAAGGGUGCGUAGGCGGACAGGUAAGUCAGUGGUGAAAUCUCCGAGCUUAACUCGGAAACUGCCGUUGAUACUAUCUGUCUUGAAUAUUGUGGAGGUGAGCGGAAUAUGUCAUGUAGCGGUGAAAUGCUUAGAUAUGACAUAGAACACCAAUUGCGAAGGCAGCUCGCUACACGAAUAUUGACUCUGAGGCACGAAAGCGUGGGGAUCAAACAGG